rnacentral:rRNA from 1 species
UACAGAGGGUGCAAGCGUUGUUCGGAAUUAUUAGGCGUAAAGCGCGUGUAGGCGGCUUUGCAAGUCUGGUGUGAAAUCCCUCGGCUUAACCGAGGAAGUGCGCCAGAAACUGCAGAGCUUGAGUACCGGAGAGGAUGGUGGAAUUCCCCAAGUAGAGGUGAAAUUCGUAGAUAUGGGGAGGAACACCGGUGGCGAAGGCGACCAUCUGGACGGAUACUGACGCUGAGACGCGAAAGCGUGGGGAGCAAACAGG